CAGGGUGUAGCUUAAAUAAAAGCACUCCGCUUACACCGAAUUGACGUCUGUUAAACCCAGACUACCCUGAA
rnacentral:tRNA from 1 species